UACAGAGGGGGCAAGCGUUAUUCGGAAUUAUUGGGCGUAAAGGGCGCGUAGGCGGGUCUUUAAGUCAGGGGUGAAAUCCUGGAGCUCAACUCCAGAACUGCCUUUGAUACUGAGGAUCUUGAGUACGGGAGAGGUGAGUGGAACUGCGAGUGUAGAGGUGAAAUUCGUAGAUAUUCGCAAGAACACCAGUGGCGAAGGCGGCUCACUGGCCCGUAACUGACGCUGAGGCACGAAAGCGUGGGGAGCAAACAGG
rnacentral:rRNA from 1 species